GUCGGGAGAGACCGCAGCUGCGGCGCCGAAGGGGAGGCAAAAACUCUCAGGCAAAAGGACCGG
rnacentral:ncRNA from 1 species